rnacentral:rRNA from 1 species
UACAGAGGUCUCAAGCGUUGUUCGGAUUCAUUGGGCGUAAAGGGUGCGUAGGCGGCGCGGUAAGUCGGGUGUGAAAUCUCGGGGCUUAACUCCGAAACUGCAUUCGAUACUGCCGUGCUUGAGGACUGGAGAGGAGACUGGAAUUUACGGUGUAGCAGUGAGAUGCGUAGAUAUCGUAAGGAAGACCAGUGGCGAAGGCGGGUCUCUGGACAGUUCCUGACACUGAGACACGAAGGCCAGGGGAGCAAACGGG